CCCACAUCACGCCACGGCUCACUGUCCGCUUCGCGCACACGCAUCCGCGCGGCCAUCCGCCUCCUGCCAGCAUAUGCGGCAGGGCAAGGCCCCUGGCGCCGUGGCGCCAGCUCCGUCCAUGUCAACUGACCUCGGUUAUUCUUCUUCUGUUGAAAGAACCCCAGAGCUGUCAAUUGCUUCAACCGUGAUCCCAACACAAAGACGCACGCGCAACCUCUUGACCACGAGCGCAUCCCUUCGAAUCUCUGGGAACUCGCGCCUCUCUGUGCCUCCCGCCCCUACUGUUGUCAAGCACUCCUCAGCGGGGCCGCCUGCGACCCGCCGCCGCCGUCGCCCCUCAGGCCUGCGCCGGCUGCACCUGGCUCCUCGGGCCGCCCGGUGUGUUGUUAUUCCGGGGGAGGGCACGCACACGAAACUGCGCGCCCGUCCCGCGUGUUGAAGGAGCGGGAGCCCCAGGAGCAGGGAAGAAUGCCGGCGCCUCGUCCGAACUGACAUCAUAAAUGCCAUGCCCACAUCCAUCCAUGCGAUUUGCUUUACCCUCGCUCCACGAGCGAAAAACCGUAGAGUUUUGUACGACCCGUCACCAUCCAUGAACAAAACUUGCAUGCUGCUGCUGUUGUACUAUCCUCAUACCGAUACGCACACACAUGCCUCGCCCCUGGGAGGCGGGGUGUGCCGCUAGGGUUGCGGCGAGCUUAGGCCUUGAUGCCCAGGGUCUCGUUGACGCGCGCCAGCAGUGCGUCGGUCUGCUUCUUGGCGUCACCCAGGAACAUGAAGGUGUUGGGCUGGGGGUGGGUGGGGAGGGCAAGAAGGAAGACUGAGCGGCAAAGAGAGUAUCAGCAGAAUGCGAAGCACGCAGCGACUCCCAAGGUGGCAUAUGGACCUUCUCCACACCACCCGCCCGUCACCCAGCCCCGCUCCUCUCCAUCCCUCUCUUCAUCCCGCCCCUCCCUCCACCCCGCCGCGCCUCUCACCUUAUAGAAAACGGGAUUUUCAGCACCAGCGUAGCCGGCGCCCAUGGUGCGCUUCAUGAAGAACACCUGCUUGGAGCGCCACACCUCAAUCACGGGCAUGCCCGCAAUGACGCUGUUGGGGUCCUCCACCGCCGCGCUGUUGACCGUGUCGUUGGCGCCAAUCACCAGGCACACGUCCGCCUCCUCGAUCUCCUCGUUGAUCUCGUCCAUCUCAAACACCACGUCGUACGGCACGCCCGCCUCCGCCAGCAGCACGUUGAGCUGGCCGGGCAUGCGGCCGGCCACGGGGUGGAUGCCGAACUUGACGCUGAUGCCCUUGUCCGUCAGGUGCUUGGCCAGCUCGGCCACGGGGUACUGCGCGUUGGCGACCGCCAUGCCGUAGCCGGGCACGAUGAUGACCUUGGAGGCGGUGGUCAGCGCCUCCGCCACGCCGCCCACGUCAAUCUCUUGGUGCGUGCCCGCCACCGCGGCGGCGUCGGCGGGCGCCUUGGCGGUCAUGCCGUAGCCGCCCAGGAUGACGUUGGGCAGCGAGCGGUUCAUGGCCGUGCACAUGAUGUACGACAGGAUGGCGCCCGAGGAGCCGAUCAGCGCGCCCACCGCCGUCAGCAGGUCGUUGUUGAGCAGGAAGCCCUCCGCGCACAGCGCGUAGCCCGAGUACGAGUUGAGCAGCGUAAUGACAACAGGCAUAUCAGCGCCGCCGAUCGAGGCGGUCAUGUGCGCGCCCUGCACGCCCGCCAGCACGCCCGCCGCCACCAGCGCCAGCACGCCGGCGUCCGUGGAGCCGUCGCUGGCCAGGAAGGCGGCGCCGCAGGCCAGGUUGGCGGCAAAGAGGCCCAGGUUGAUGGCGUUCUUGCCGGGCAGCGACAGCGGGUCGGACUUGAGCACGCCGUGCAGCUUGCCAAAGGCAAUGGCGGAGCCGGUCAUGGUCACGGCGCCGAUGAAGUCGCCCAGGUAGGCAAUGACCUGUUGAGGGGUGGGGAGGGGGGGCAUGGUGGGUGAGUUGGGUGGGGAGUCAGCCGGCAGUUGCGGCGGAGCUCCCAACAUACAAACAAAGCAACCCCUGCUGCAAUGUUUGCAGUGUUGAGGUCGUCUGCACGCCAGCGGCAAAAGCCUCCAAGGCAUUGUGCCCUCCCGUCGCCCUUCUCUUGCCCCUCCCGCCCAAUCUUUUUACCCCUGAUCCCCCGAGCUCGGGCGUACAAACCCCUCCUCUCGCUCAACCAUCUAUCUGCCUCGGCCCCUUCUGUCCCCCUGCCUUCCGCCCCUCCCCCACCUUGUGCGUCAUGUCCAGGUGUCCGGGGUCUGCCGCCAUGACGUUGGCGAUGGAGGUGACCACCGCCGCCAGGCCUACCAGCGAGUGGAAGGCGGCCACCAUCUGAGGCAGCUCCGUGAUCUUCAUGGUCUUGCCCACGUAGUGGCCCGUGGCUGCGCAGUGGGAGGAAAUGGGGGAGAGUGGCAGAAGCCAGUAUAAACCCAAUAGCGGCCGCAAUAUGCACAAGUCGAUUGCACGAAACGCGUCGCUUCUGUCCCCCAAAUCAAACCCAACCCAACCAACCCACCCAUCCCAAACCAAACACAACCAACUAAACCUCCUCACCACUCACCAAUGCCGGCGCCGAGCAUGGUCAGCACCUGCGCGUACACGGCGGCGGGCGCGUUCAUGACGCCCAGGGUGGUUGCGAUGCCGGUGCCCACGCCCGCCAUGCCCAGCGCGUUGCCGGUGCGCGCCGACGACUGGUUGGCCAGGCAGGCGAUGGCGGCGAUGCACAUCGCCGAGGAGGCCAGGUAGGAGGCCGAGGUGACGCCCUCGGGGUCGCCGCCGGUGCCGCCCAUGAACAGCGAGGCCGCCACGUAGCCGCCCACCAGCGUGGCGGCGGGCAGCGCGUACAGCUGGUUGUACUCCAC
rnacentral:lncRNA from 1 species